rnacentral:rRNA from 1 species
GAGCGGCGGACGGGUGAGUAACGCGUGGGUAACCUGCCUCAUACACAUGGAAUAACAUACCGAAAGGUAUAGCUAAUACAGGAUAAUAUAAGAGAUUCACAUGGAUUUCUUAUCAAAGCUCCGGCGGUAUGAGAUGGACCCGCGUCUGAUUAGCUAGUUGGUAAGGUAAUGGCUUACCAAGGCGACGAUCAGUAGCCGACCUGAGAGGUGAUCGGCCACAUUGGAACUGAGACACGGUCCAAACUCCUACGGGAGGCAGCAGUGGGGAAUAUUGCACAAUGGGCGAAAGCCUGAUGCCAGCAACGCCGCGUGAGUGAUGAAGGCCUUCGGGUCGUAAAACUCUGUCCUCAAGGAAGAUAAUGACGGUACUUGAGGAGGAAGCCCCGGCUAACUACGUGCCAGCAGCGGC